UCUCAAACCACUAAACAAUAGAGUAAUCAACCAAAAAAGUAAGUAGUAGAAAAUGUCUAAGUCAUGCACUCUCGUUGCUCUCCUUUGCCUCUACUUCCUUAUCUUCUCUUCAACUGACGCAGGUUUGAAGGUGGUGGAGGCUAAGGUAUGUAAAAGGUACAGCGACUCGUCGAGCGGAGUUUGCAUUCUGUCGAGCAGAUGUAAUUCCCGAUGCAUUAAUACGGAAAAAGCUAAGUUUGGAGCGUGUCACGUAGAUACCCAUGGUAGAGCUUGUUUCUGUUAUUUCAAUUGCUAAAAAAAAUAAUAAGCAUUUGGGUUUUAUUCUAAGUGGAUUUCUGUGAAUCUUAUGUAAUUUGUAUCCCUUCCCUUGGUAUCGUUGUGUUGUGUGCUUUUUUUGUUGCUGUUGUUGUUGUUGUUGUUGUGUCUUGCAGAAUAAUACACAUUACGAUGUGUUGUUGUAUCAUAAUAUUUCGUGUUUGGUUAUAUUACACAAGCAUUAUGUACUUAUUCUUA